UUCAACUGAUUUGAAGAGCUUGCUCAGAUAUGACGAUGGACAUUGCAAAGAGUGGCGAACGGGUGAGUAACACGUGGGAAACCUACCUCUUAGCAGGGGAUAACAUUUGGAAACAGAUGCUAAUACCGUAUAACAAUGACAACCGCAUGGUUGUUAUUUAAAAGAUGGUUCUGCUAUCACUAAGAGAUGGUCCCGCGGUGCAUUAGCUAGUUGGUAAGGUAAUGGCUUACCAAGGCGAUGAUGCAUAGCCGAGUUGAGAGACUGAUCGGCCACAAUGGGACUGAGACACGGCCCAUACUCCUACGGGAGGCAGCAGUAGGGAAUCUUCCACAAUGGGCGAAAGCCUGAUGGAGCAACGCCGCGUGUGUGAUGAAGGGUUUCGGCUCGUAAAACACUGUUGUAAGAGAAGAAUGACAUUGAGAGUAACUGUUCAAUGUGUGACGGUAUCUUACCAGAAAGGAACGGCUAAAUACGUGCCAGCAGCCGCGGUAAUACGUAUGUUCCAAGCGUUAUCCGGAUUUAUUGGGCGUAAAGCGAGCGCAGACGGUUAUUUAAGUCUGAAGUGAAAGCCCUCAGCUCAACUGAGGAAUUGCUUUGGAAACUGGAUGACUUGAGUGCAGUAGAGGAAAGUGGAACUCCAUGUGUAGCGGUGAAAUGCGUAGAUAUAUGGAAGAACACCAGUGGCGAAGGCGGCUUUCUGGACUGUAACUGACGUUGAGGCUCGAAAGUGUGGGUAGCAAACAGGAUUAGAUACCCUGGUAGUCCACACCGUAAACGAUGAGUGCUAGGUGUUUGAGGGUUUCCGCCCUUAAGUGCCGCAGCUAACGCAUUAAGCACUCCGCCUGGGGAGUACGACCGCAAGGUUGAAACUCAAAGGAAUUG
rnacentral:rRNA from 1 species